GCAUAUCACAUUGAAACACUGGUUCUCUUACAAUCACUGAAGUUAAGCAGCAUUGAGCCUGGUCAGCACCUAAAUGGGUGACCACUUGGGAGUACCAGGU